rnacentral:rRNA from 1 species
UACGUAGGGCGCAAGCGUUAUCCGGAAUUAUUGGGCGUAAAGAGCUCGUAGGCGGUUUGUCGCGUCUGCCGUGAAAGUCCGGGGCUCAACUCCGGAUCUGCGGUGGGUACGGGCAGACUAGAGUGAUGUAGGGGGAGACUGGAAUUCCUGGUGUAGCGGUGAAAAUGCGCAGAUAUCAGGAGGAACACCGAUGGCGAAGGCAGGUCUCUGGGCGAUUAAACUGACGCUGAGGAGCGAAAGCAUGGGGAGCGAACAGG